CAGUAGCCGCGGGAAUACGAAGGGGGCUAGCGUUGUUCGGAAUUACUGGGCGUAAAGCGCACGUAGGCGGAUAUUUAAGUCAGGGGUGAAAUCCCGCAGCUCAACUGCGGAACUGCCUUUGAUACUGGGUAUCUUGAGUAUGGAAGAGGUUAGUGGAAUUGCGAGUGUAGAGGUGAAAUUCGUAGAUAUUCGCAGGAACACCAGUGGCGAAGGCGGCUAACUGGUCCAUAACUGACGCUGAGGUGCGAAAGCGUGGGGAGCAAACAGGAUUAGAUACCCCAGUAGUCCCUGUCUCUUAUAC
rnacentral:rRNA from 1 species